rnacentral:rRNA from 1 species
GGACACGGUAAGGAUUGACGGACUGAAGGCUCUUUCUCGAUUCCGUGGAAAGUGGUGCAUGGCCGUUUUUGGUUGGUGGAUCGAUCCGUCUGGUUAAUUCCGUUAACGAACGAGACCUCGGCAACUCCGAAUAGCGCGGCGGACGUCGCGGCCUCCGGGCCGUCUUCCGCACGAGCUUCUUAGAGGGACCGUCCCCCCGCCGGGGAAGGAGGUGCGAGGCAACGACAGGUCUGUGAUGCCCUUAGAUGUUCUGGGCCGCACGCGCAUUACACUGACGCGUCCAACGGGUGACUCCCGACCCGAAGGGGCCGGGGAAUCCGCAAGGCGCGUCGUGAUGGGGAUUGAACGUUGCAAUUGUUGUUCACGAACGAGGAAUUCCUAGUAGGCGCGGGUCAUCAACCCGCGCCGAUUACGUCCCUGCCCUUUGUACACACCGC